rnacentral:rRNA from 1 species
UUGGAGGGCAAGUCUGGUGCCAGCAGCCGCGGUAAUUCCAGCUCCAAUAGCGCAUAUUAAAGUUGUUGCAGUUAAAAAGCUCGUAGUUGAAUUUCGGGAUUAGUACGUUGGUCGUGCCUUAGGUACGUACUGGUGUUACUGGUUCCUACCUUCUGACGAACCAUCAUGUCAUUAAUUUGGUGUGGUGGGGAAUCAGGACUGUUACUUUGAAAAAAUUAGAGUGUUUAAAGCAGGCUCGCGCUUGAAUACAUUAGCAUGGAAUAAUGAAAUAGGACGUUGAUCCUAUUUUGUUGGUUUCUAGGAUUGACGUAAUAAUUAAUAGGGAUAGUUGGGGGCAUUAGUAUUCAAUUGUCAGAGGUGAAAUUCUUGGAUUUAUUGAAGACUAACUACUGCGAAAGCAUUUGCCAAGGAUGUUUUCAUUAAUCAAGAACGAAAGUUAGGGGAUCGAAGACGAUCAGAUACCGUCGUAGUCUUAACCAUAAACUAUGCCGACUAGGGAUCGGAUGAUGUUAUUUUUAAUGACUCAUUCGGCACCUUACGGGAAAC